AUUGAACGCUGGCGGCAUGCUUUACACAUGCAAGUCGAACGAGUGGCGAACGGGUGAGUAAUGCCUCGGAACGUGCCCAGUAGUGGGGGAUAACUACUCGAAAGGGCAGCUAAUACCGCAUAUUAUCCGAGCUGCCGAUGUCGGAUUAGCUGGUUGGCGGGGUAAAGGCCCACCAAGGCGACGAUCCGUAGCUGGUCUGAGAGGAUGAUCCGCCACACUGGGACUGAGACACGGUCCAGACUCCUACGGGAGGCAGCAGUGGGGAAUGUUGGACAAUGGGCGCAAGCCUGAUCCAGCCAUGCCGCGUGUCUGAAGAAGGCCUUCGGGUUGUAAAGUACUUUGGGCAGGGAAGCGGUACCUGAAGAAUAAGCACCGGCUAACUACGUGCCAGCAGCCGCGGUAAUAC
rnacentral:rRNA from 1 species